GAUGAACGCUGGCGGCGUGCCUAAUACAUGCAAGUCGAGCGAACGGACGAGAAGCUUGCUUCUCUGAUGUUAGCGGCGGACGGGUGAGUAACACGUGGAUAACCUACCUAUAAGACUGGGAUAACUUCGGGAAACCGGAGCUAAUACCGGAUAAUAUUUUGAACCGCAUGGUUCAAAAGUGAAAGACGGUCUUGCUGUCACUUAUAGAUGGAUCCGCGCUGCAUUAGCUAGUUGGUAAGGUAACGGCUUACCAAGGCAACGAUGCAUAGCCGACCUGAGAGGGUGAUCGGCCACACUGGAACUGAGACACGGUCCAGACUCCUAAGGGAGGCAGCAGUAGGGAAUCUUCCGCAAAGGGCGAAAGCCUGACGGAGCAACGCCGCGUGAGUGAUGAAGGUCUUCGGAUCGUAAAACUCUGUUAUUAGGGAAGAACAUAUGUGUAAGUAACUGUGCACAUCUUGACGGUACCUAAUCAGAAAGCCACGGCUAACUACGUG
rnacentral:rRNA from 1 species